UAAGAGGGCUAUCACAAAUUUGCGAGUUUUAUACGAGUUUUGAUGCGUCAUUAUGCUUUGGAUAUAGUCACAAAAAAAAAACAAAAAUAAGAUUAAGAAAGUUUGAUCAUUUAUCUUGGGGCUGUUUUCAAUAAAUAUUUUAAUUUGUCCACGUACAUCAGUAAAAUCUUUGUCUCUGCAAAGGAUGUUUCAUAAAAUGUUGCUUUUGGGGAUCUUUUGAUGCUUCAGUACUCCGAGGAUAUAGCAAUUUAACCAUUUAUAAAAAUGUUCAAGAUACAACUAUAUCUUGUACUUGUGCUUGCUUACACCAAUUUAUUACAAUUCAUACAGUAAUACACCAAAAAUAAUUCUAUAAAACUGAGAGUUACUGACAAUUUUCCGUACGAAACUAUAUUUUUUAUCUAUGAAAGUAUAAUCCAAAUUCAAAUAAAAAACAUGUAAUAAAUAAGGUGGUAUUGUUAUAAAGCUUGAAAAAAAAAAUUGGUCUAUUUAAAAGUAAAACAAUAUUUUAAAAUAAUUUUUGUUUGCAAUGCAAAAAUCAAUAUAAAUCUUGUGACGCGCUGCGUUCAACUUUAGUCAGCGCCAGGCGCUUACCGAGGAGGGACGUAUCGCUCGCUGUUGCGCCGCGUGAACUCGCCGGAGGUCGAAAAAUAUAGCGCAACCUGCGCAACUAACACGUUUUGAUACUAGAUAAUGAAAGCAUAUUUAAUUCAGACUAUCAGACUCAAUUGAAUACCAGUACAAAUAAUAUGGAAAAUGAAGAUACAAUACAUGGAAGACGAAUUAUAGAUUUUAGUUUUUUUAUAAAUCAAUUACUUAUAAUUGAUAAACAUGGUGAAAAGUUUGGUUGUCGAUUAAAUAAUUUAAAAAUUGUAAACGAUUACUUGUUUAUUGUAACUCAAUUGAGCUAUUCUAGGUUAUAAAAUUCAUCGGUACAAAUAAUAUUUCAUAAACUAUAAAAACAAUAAAUUAUUUCGGAAAAAAGUGGCAAAGUCUCAAGUUUGUUUGUGCCGCGUGGCGGUCCGCAGGUGUGCGUUGCGUAUUUCGCUAGACGCACACAUGCGCAAGUGCUGCCGGCUAUCGUCUAAUUUACCCACAACUGAGCAAUUCGAUUUUGUAAUAGCGCUC
rnacentral:lncRNA from 1 species